GACCUUACGCUUUUGGGGUGGCCGAUGUCUGAUUAGCUAGUUGGUAAGGUAAAGGCUUACCAAGGCGACGAUCAGUAGUUGGUCUGAGAGGACGACCAGCCACACUGGGACUGAGACACGGCCCAGACUCCUACGGGAGGCAGCAGUGGGGAAUUUUGGACAAUGGGCGAAAGCCUGAUCCAGCAAUGCCGCGUGAGUGAAGAAGGCCUUCGGGUUGUAAAGCUCUUUCAGUUGAGAAGAAAAAGUUACGACUAAUAAUCGUGAUUCAUGACGGUAUCAACAGAAGAAGCACCGGCUAACUACGUGCCAGCAGCCGCGGUAAUACGUAGGGUGCAAGCGUUAAUCGGAAUUACUGGGCGUAAAGGGUGCGCAGGCGGUUCUGUAAGCCAGAUGUGAAAUCCCCGGGCUUAACCUGGGAAUUGCGUUUGAAA
rnacentral:rRNA from 1 species